UGAAGAAGAAGACCCAAGGAAGAAGAUGGGUGAGUUCCCACAGCCCAAAACUUGCUCCAAAAGGUCCAAAACGAUGCUCCCAAGCUUCAGCCGCCAAGAGUUGUGUGCCCUCGAAAACUGUGUGCUAUUUAUAGUUCUAGGGUGCCAACUCAGCAAAUAAGGUCGCGCCCAACGCCCCCCUCUAGGGCGCCCAAGCGUGACAAACCAAUGAAAACAGCGAGCUGAAGGCGCUUGGGCGCCCCCCAGGGGCGCUUGAGCGUGAAAAACAGGUGAAAACUGCGAGCUGAAGGCGCCUGGGCGCCCCCCAGGGGCGCCUGGGCGUGGGCAAUUGUCAAAACUGCGAGCUGGGGGCGCCUGAGCGUGACUGGUGCAGAGAACAACUUCAAAACUUCAACUUCUAGGCCUUCCUUGGUUCUCCACCUUCAAGAACUUCAAUGUCUUUCCAAANCAAGCAAUGUUCCUACAAAAUUUUAGGAAAAGANAUGAAAACUAACAUGUAACCUAAGCUAAGUUUUAUUCACAGAAUUGGAUAAAACNAAGAGGAUCAAACAGGUUUAAAGCUUCAGGAGUGUUGAUUUGGCAUGAAAAAUGCACCAUAGAUAAUGGUAAGAAU
rnacentral:lncRNA from 1 species